rnacentral:rRNA from 1 species
AUUGAACGCUGGCGGCAAGCCUAACACAUGCAAGUCGAACGAGUGGCGGACGGGUGAGUAAUGUCUGGGAAACUGCCUGAUAGAGGGGGAUAACUACUGGAAACGGUAGCUAAUACCGCAUACCAUCGGAUGUACCCAUAUGGGAUUAGCUAGUAGGUGGGGUAAAGGCUCACCUAGGCGACGAUCCCUAGCUGGUCUGAGAGGAUGACCAGCCACACUGGAACUGAGACACGGCCCAGACUCCUACGGGAGGCAGCAGUGGGGAAUAUUGCACAAUGGGCGCAAGCCUGAUGCAGCCAUGCCGCGUGUAUGAAGAAGGCCUUCGGGUUGUAAAGUACUUUCAGCGGGGAGGCGUUACCCGCAGAAGAAGCACCGGCUAACUCCGUGCCAGCAGCCGCGGUAAUAC